UACGUAGGGUGCGAGCGUUGUCCGGAAUUAUUGGGCGUAAAGGGCGCGUAGGCGGCUUGAUAAGCGUGCGGUGAAAGCCCCGGGGCUCAACCCCGGGGUCGGCCGUGCGAACUGUCGAGCUGGAGCACUGUAGAGGCAGGUGGAAUUCCUGGUGUAGCGGUGGAAUGCGCAGAUAUCAGGAGGAACACCAAUAGCGAAGGCAGCUCGCUGGGACGGUAUUGACGCUAAGGCGCGAAAGCGUGGGGAGCAAACAGG
rnacentral:rRNA from 1 species